ACGGCACCAGCCCCGCUGCCACGCUGCACAGACAGUCAGAUGGGGACACGCCCAACCAGGGGAGAGAAGACGAGGACGAUGACAUCGCCCACCAGUUUUGUUGCCCCGCCUCUGAGUGCAGUAGCCCCUCCUCCAGGUAACCUGGAGACGAUGCCCCACCCUCCUCCAGAUCCCUCCCCUUGACCUCUGACUGACCCCCAUGGGCAGAACGGAAGGGGGCCAAUCGGAGACCAGCAGCUUCUCAGAACGUUCCGAAUGUGGAGCACGGAGGUGCAGAGAGACAGUGAAGAGAAAGAAGUGAACGCAUAAAAAACAGAAGUUAAAAUUAGGAUUGCAAGCUAUGUCCAUGAGUUAACCUCAAACCUCAGCAUGCACAGAGAUGCCUACCGCCAUCACUUUUUUCCUAUUCGAACUCGAUGACCUCUUCUCAAGUGUCUGGGGUGGAGAUGGGAUAACUGUGGAGGGAGUACCCCGUUCUAUGCUGUCCCCCGAAAGCAAUGGCAGAGACUGUGGGCAGAGACCUGUAGAGAUUUCUGUGCAGGAGGGGGAGAAAGUAUCGGGGUCACCCUGCCCCGUCACCUCUAUGUACCUGACGAUCGGCGCUGCACUGCUGCUUGUAGGAGCCUGUCACUGGACGACGGACUGACAGACAUGCUCUCCCCUGCCGGUCCCUUCGCUUGUGGCGCCUGUACCUUCAGACUCACUCAGUCACCUUCUGCGGCCGGAUCGCACCCUAGACAGCGCAACGCCGGCGCGCUGCACUCCUGAGCCUCGCGUGUGUGCGUGCUCUUCGGCGGGCGCGUCUUCGGACCUCUCCGCCCCCCCGCUCUUCCUCGCAGCACCUCGGUGUCAAUGGGAGACUGUUAACCGGACACCGGGACUGGAGCGUGCUCCCCGCAGGGUGUGUGUCUCGGCGUGGCGGGGCUGUGUGUCUAGGGGUCAGGGGUCAAGGUGUGGUGCGGGUGUGUCUGUGACCGAUGGCCCCGUUGGCACGGCGGUGUCUGUAGUGGCGCCCCGCCUCCCAGGCCAGGGUCAAGAGCUCUUCCCCCCGCGGGGCAUCCUCGACUGAACUAUCCGACGUGCUCUGGAGCUCGCUGGCCCUCGGAAAAGCUGUGGUAUUCCGUAAAGAAAGCGGAGUAAAAGUGUUGUAAAACAGAGUGGAAGCGUGCUAAAGGCCUGGUCAAAACAGAGGUGUGUGGAAAUCAUUAGGAAAACCUGAGACUCAUGGCAGAGUAGAGUUAAAUGCAUGUUAGAAUCAAGAUACAGUUGUGAGAAAUCGACAGAAAUGUAGUCAAAUCGGCUUGACGGUGGUGGUCAGGGCAGUAGCUUGGCCAUCUGGACAGCGUGCGGUGCCCAGGUAUGAGACACACACAGGGAGCUGGCCGUGUUCAGGAUGACACUGAGCUGGCUCUGUAGCUCUGCCAGCAUGUCGUCCGUCAGUCUGCCCUGCUGGCGGGCAUUGCUGUGCUGUGGCCUGGCAGUCCAGCAGUGUGAGAGCAAGCUCAAGCCAAGCCCUGUGUGCUGCAGUGGAGAGUCAUUGCUGCUUCGCAACAGAGGGGUGUGGGUGGGCGGAACGAACUGCCCAGUCCUGUUGAGGGUGCUGAGUCACAGUGGAGGCCCUGCACAGAGAGCCUUCAGGGUGAUGCAUCAGAACAGCCCCCUCGUGAGCUUGCUCACAGUUCCCGCUGCCUCCCUCCGUCCUGGUGUGCUCAGUUCAGCCAGCUCACCCAGACGUGCUGAGACGCGCAGAAAGCCCUGAGGAGCGGGUUCCUGCCUCUCUCCUCCUGUGCCGCCGGGCCGCCAGGGGGCUGUCAGGGCUUGUGGUCGGAGAGAGGGCGAUUGUGAUUUCCGGACAAUGGAUGUCAGUGGUGGCGGUGAUGAAGGAGGCGCAGGCACAGGCGCCGAGGGGGAGGAUGGUGGCCAGACAGGUGCCUAGGUGGGCUGCAGUCGGUCCUGCCGGGCUGGUCGCCCUCGUCUGCCAGCUGUGUUCGUCGGCACCUGUUCGGCCUGUGGCCAUUGCUCACGCCACCGUGCUCUUUCUGCGAACCUGUUAAAGAGUUCAAGAAUACAAGAGUUCAAGAGUACCGGAGAGGAUCUGCACCGCAGUGCUCGUCUCCAGCUCCCUGCCUCUGUCCGAGCUCCUCACGCUGCCCAGCUGGAGGGGCGGCGCUGAGAGAGCCCACAGCGAGGGCCGGUGUACGUGCAGGAGUUAUGUGUUAUGGAGUUGUGCUGGAAUGUGGCGUUCUGAUCACCUGAAGCAAGCUGCAAGCGAAGCACGUUUCUCUCAGGAGCCCCGGGCCAGAAAGACACGGCGGCAUCCGGCCCGUGUCUGCAGCUGAGCCCUGACUUCAGUGGGUCGAUGAAUUCGUUUCCUUAUCAGGGCAAGGGCAGGAAAUCCCACUUGUCAAGCCCAGGCUCCUGCAGGAGAGGGGCCCAGCAGGGAGGGGGGCCCAGGCUGUGGUCAUCACGUCCCGGCCGACCCCGCUGGGCCUGGGGACAGUGCUGCAGCUGGACAAGGAGCUGCCAGGGAAGAAGACUCUCUCCUCCGCUGUCUCGUCCUCCGACAGUCCCCGCUGGAAUUAUGUCAUUCAAGCCCUCUCGACACAAAGGCACCUCCUGUUCUGAAAAACACAGUGAAAGAAAAAUGAGAUCUAUAAUGUGAUUACGGAAAUAUCGAAAAUUAUAUUAUACAUACAAAAAGGGAGCUGUGUUCCACGAAAGAAUGUUUCUUUGAUAUGUGAUGAUGAUGAUGGUGAUGAUGAUGAUGAAAUGGAGGCUAGGAAAAAAUGGGAUGAAUAAAGUAUUCUGGGAUUCUGAUCAAUGGCUGUGUGUCGUGAGGUCUGUGUCUGAAUGCCGGUGUCUGUCAGUGACUCGUUCACACUGCUGGACUAACAGAGCCCCCCAGACUGAGACCUCCCACCCCGCCUCUGGCCUGGCUUCUCUGUAUCCGCCGGCCUUGCCCACCGCUGUCUGAGCGGGGGUCCCCCUGAAGAGGGGGCGAUCCCGGUUCACUUCCGAACCCUGCGGAAUCCCGCAGGCGCUCACUGCUCCUGAAUGAGCCUCAUCCAGCCCUGCUAGGGGCACGGUGCGACAGACACCGAUUUCCACGAUCGCGAUGUAGAAAGAGCGGCACAGAUCCGAGCAGGCCGCCGGAGCCCGGAAUUCCGGGCGACUCUUCUCCAGGCUCUGGAAUCGGAGCCUGCCGAGAGCGGCAGACAGCGAGAACAAUUCCGCGAGUUAUUGUAAAUGAGUUUAGACGUGGAGCAGCGCCUGUUGGCUCAUGAAGGGUGCGGAGGAGGAGCUUGUCUGUGGCUGAGUCCUGGGCUUACAGUGUCCGCCCGCCCUAGAGCUCCCCCUCGUUCACCUGGGACAGCAGCUUCUC